rnacentral:tRNA from 1 species
GGGGAUUUGGCUCAGUGGUAGAGCGCUUGCCUAGGAAGCGCAAGGUCCUGGGUUCGGUCCCCAGCCCCCCCG